UUGGCUGCGGCGGGGGACGGGGCGUGCUCAUUGGCUGCGGCGGCAAUGAGGUUGCCGCCGUAACCAGGGGUUCUCUCUGGGCCGCGGGGCCAGCGGCUUUCCUCUGCACAGCGCCGGACUCGGGCGAGGUGCGGGCGGGCCCCGCAAACACGCAGCCCUUCGAGUCCAGCCAAAAAGUGGGAGAGCGCCAGCCAGCGGGGAGCAGGGCGGGGCUGAGAAUGGAAAAUCAAGCUUGCAGUACAAAACCUGGCGGAUCCCCGGGCUGUCAUCUACCGCUGCUGCCCCAGCAGAUGCAACCGGCUUCUCCGGCUUCUCGCAGCCUUGUCACCAGCAGAAAGCUGAGCAGCUUCCAGCCCCCGCGGGCCGUGGACAGUAGAUCGAGCUCGGGAGUACACGUGGUGCAUUUCCCUCCCAUUCAGCACUGAGCAACAGUCCAACGAGGCUUGAAGAAUGAAACAACAGAGAACAAAAACCUGGGGAACCUGGACAACAACCUAUUUUCUCUGUUUGUUUCUGCACGCUGCAUCUGAGUGUGAGCCCAUCGACACCACCGGACACAAAUGUAGAAAUGAAUCCAUUACAGCGCCUGCGCACACUGCUGUGCUCCUGCGCUUUGUUGUUCAAGACACGGUUGUGGAUCAUUUAAAAGCUACUCUUAACUGGCAGACUGAUUCGCGGGAAGUUGUGCAUGCCUAUCACGAAGGCAAGGACCAGCUGGACAGACAGGCAGAGAGGUUUCGUGGGCGAACCGAGGUCUUUCCCAAGGACAUUCGCAGUGGCAAUGCAUCUUUGUUGCUGAAAAAUAUAUCCUGGAAUGAUACACGAGCCUAUUGCGCUUACUUUUUCCUCAGUGAUGAUGGAAAGCAUAGUGAAUGCUGCAGCAUCCAACUUCACGUGUCAGGGAAGGGCGCUGCGGUCCCAGUGCUGGGAGCUGUGCACUGUCUCGCUGCCGUCCUGCUGCUGCACAUGGUGUUGUGAGCACGUGAAGAUAAUCUCUGUCUUCCUGCACAGCCCAGAUGAAAAUGCUGACUUGUGAGCCCGACCACUGAGGAGCCCGAAGUGCCUCUCGCUUCAUCUUUCCAAGCACCUCUACGGUACGUGACCUGCCUGCUGCUGCGACUGCCGGGGCCCAGUGGAGUGGACGGUGGGGCGUCUGCCGAGAGCUGCUGGUUUAGGAAGUCUCCCCAGGACCUGGAAAGGCAGAAGUCCCACCGGAGAGGAGGCCUCAAAGUGAUUUCUGUUGGAGGGAGGGGUUGUAGGGUAGAAAUGCUAGUAGGGGAAGGGGUGUAUGUGUUUUAUGUGUGUAAUAAUACAUUUUCUCCUGGUUUAUAGAAAAAUGGAGGGAGGGGGGAAUUAAUAUGUAUAAAUUCAUAUAAUUUUUUCCCCAUAUAUUAGUGGAAGGGAAAACAUUUAUAUGAAUUUAUUCAUACUGGGGGGUGUUCUACAAACCAAGGGAAAAUGCAUCUUCCUCUGACGGACACGAUUUCUAAGUCUAUAAGGGCCUAAGAGAGCCUUGAGGACACUAAGACCCAACAAAGGUAGUAAUUCCAACAUGAGACUUAUAUAUAAAUCUUUAGCUAUUGGUAGAAAUAGACUUUUUUUUUACAAAAAAUAUAAAUUUAUACAAUUGGAUGUUAGGAAAAGUUCCUGCACUUUAAUUUACCAGUCAAGUGUUUAAAAUGGUACUACCACUUUAUUCAUAAAGUAGACACUUUUGAAUGAUUCCCAAAUGCUGCUCCCAAGUUUGGGAUGUAGCAAUAAAGGCCAUGCCAGGACCAAAGCAAGGAUGUGGAGCAGAGGAGCAGGCGGGGAAAGGCUGCAGGUGGAGCUUUGUCACAGGACAGUGGAAGAGAUUCAUUGGAGACAAUGGCCCAUAUCCAGGUCCACCUUGAGAUGGGCCUGUAGGAUCUAAUGCAGGGGGAGCAAAAUACAACCCACAGGCUGGAUCUGGCCUGCCAACAGAUUGGAUCUGGCCCACAUGUGGACAGCCACCAAUUCAUUGCAUCUGGCUCACAGGUGGCUGGCAGGUCCAGGUGCUGUGUGGUGCCAAGUGGCUGGGCAAGCCUGUUUCCACCCAGCACCAUCAGCCCAGCAUCAGCUGUGGGCCUGAGCAGGGUUUCCACCGCAGCAGGUGGGUGGCGGUGUCAGCUAUGGAUACUGCUGGCAGAUUCUGGGGUCAGAACCCAGAACCUGCCAGCUGUGUCCACAGCUGCUGCCGCCGCCCCCGCCCCAGCGCAGAGCCUCGACCUGGAACCUGCUGCUGGCAUGAGCCGUGGCUGCAGUCAGGAGAAUUGGCACGGAGAGAGGGCCUUAAGGAGAUCACGGCCCUCCUAAAGGACGCCGCCGUGACAGCUGAAAGUUUAAAAAGUUCAAGGCCUAAUGAGUCCAGGCAGAGCAGUUCAGUUGCUCACUGGAGCAGACCCAAAUGUUUCCACUCAGGGACUGUUUCUUCUCAUUGCUACCUCCAUGUCCAAUGGACAACUUCCAAAAACCACUGGGAGUACUAUUUAUAAAUCUGGGUGUAUGUGUGUUUUGUUGUUUAUGUAUCUGUGUGUGUGUUAUAAUUUAUCAUGGUUUGUAUUAAAAAGGGAAGGAGAAAUUGAUACAUAUUACUUUUUUUCCCCCCCUCUCCCAUUUUUCUGUGAACCAGGGGAAAAUGCAUCUUCCUCUGACAAACGCUACCUCCAAGUCCCUAAGGGCCUAAGAAAACCUUGAGGACACCAAGACCCCCCUCCCUAAAAUUUCAUAAUUCUAACAUAUCUAUCUUUAUCUAGAGAUAGAUCGCUGUCUAUCCAACUUCAAUAAGCUAAGGACUUAGUGAGCAAUGCCCUAUGGGAUUAUGGACUGC